rnacentral:lncRNA from 1 species
GGGACAGACAGCUUAAUACCUUAGUCGCAGGUGCAGGAGAGCCACAGCAUUAGUGGCCACACACAGAGCUUGGGGUUCUGGGAGGUAGAGGCAGGCUGUGAGAUCCCCUUUAAUGCCACUAACUUUGGAAGAAGCUGUGAACAAGCAGCUAUAGGUUUCCAGGUCCCAGAUCUGUGGAGGAAACGGGACAAAUAAUUUUUCUGGCUGGAGCUGGUGGUGCAAAUGGAGCUGGGAUGUGAGCUCAGAGC